UACAGAGGGGGCAAGCGUUAUUCGGAAUUAUUGGGCGUAAAGGGCGCGUAGGCGGCCUGACAAGUGGAAGGUGAAAUCCCUCGGCUUAACCGAGGAACUGCCCUCCAAACUGUUUGGCUUGAGACCGGGAGAGGUGAGUGGAAUUCCCAGUGUAGCGGUGAAAUGCGUAGAUAUUGGGAAGAACACCGGUGGCGAAGGCGGCGACCUGGUCCGAUACUGACGCUGAGGCGCGAAAGCGUGGGGAGCAAACAGG
rnacentral:rRNA from 1 species